ensembl:lncRNA
GGGAGAGGCAGGUGAGUGUCUGUAGAGGGGAGAGGCAGGUGAGUGUCUGUAGAGGGGAGAGACAGGUGAGUGUCUGUAGAGGGGAGAGACAGGUGUAUCUUACAACAGGUGUCUGUUGUCAGUCUUUGCAGUGGUGGGCUGUAGUUUUGAGAGAAGGCAUUUUUUAGUAAACAAUUGUAUAGGAAUCUUAAGAGGUGUGGAAGGACAGUGAUAAUACAACAUUAUUUUCUGCUAAUACGCCCUUAUUGUGAUUCUCUCACUCCUGGUCAAACACCGUAGGAUGUCAAUGCCUGAAGUCUUCCUUUUGUUGUCAGCACAUUAUGUGGUAGCUCAUAGGUAAACCUUCUCUGUUUGCACACUGGCCACUCCAGGUCAACUUACAGGAAGCUUACUCCAUCCUCAGUAGCCAGG